AAUUUGAGAAAUAAAUGUAUGGAAUUUUGAACGUUUUAAUUUCUAUUCAACAUUUAUCUUAAUUAAUUAUAAAAUCAUAAUUAUGCCUAAACAAGAUAAAUAAUAAAUUGCAUUGAGAUUAGGAAAUUUUUAUUGAAUGUGAGAUGUCGUAGGUUAUGUGUUGGGAUACAUAAUUUUGUAUAUAUAAGAUGAUGUACAAUAAGUUUAUUUCAUCAUAAUAUCAAAAGUUCAACGUAAUAUCAAAAAGUUCAAAUGGCGUGUUCUAUUAAAUCUCGUUCUUACCCACCUUGUAUUAGUUGUGGUUGCAUGGAUGCUUCAUGUUGCAACGGAGGUAAGUUUAAGUGGCCUGAAGUGGUAGGUAUGAAGGGACAACAAGCUAAAAGUAAGAUUGAAAAAGAUGUAUCUUUUGUGACUGUUAUACUUUUAGCACCUGGAACAAUUAGAAUUGACAAUUUCUGUUGCAAUCGUGUUUUUGUUUACCUCGAUGAUAAUGGAAAAGUCAAUCAAAUCCCAAUCAUUGGUUGACUUUAUGAGGUCCAUUAUGUUACGUUAUGUUUAAUUACCACAUGAUCAUAUCUUCUUGUACUGAUCAAGUUAAAUCUUCAAUAAAAUUCAAAUUCUAAAGCUUAA